rnacentral:lncRNA from 1 species
UCAUUUCUAGUACAUAAAUUUGAUCAAAAUGGACCUUUUGUUUUUACCUUCUUCUUAAAUGGCAUUUAUCGUUAGGGUAUUUGUUCUAUCGAAACGAGUGAUUUUGUUUUAUCUAAGAACUAUAUUAUUGGUCCUUCACAUAGCUUCCACUAAGGUAGCAAAGGUUGGAAGAGGUAGAUUCUCCAAGAAUUGUUUAUACUCAUCAAACAUCCCUUGAAUGCACAUAUUUACCAACUUUUUCCUAUCAUAAAGCUCCUGUAUGUCUAAUACCUUCUUUCUAAAGUGUUGGAUAUACUCCAUGAGAUUUUCCCUAGAUUUUUGGAACUCUCUUCCAAGAUCAAUGAGAGUAACUUUCUCUUGAGUAAAGAAUAAUCUCUUCCUAAACAUCCUACACAUUUGAUUCCAAGACUUAAU